rnacentral:rRNA from 1 species
AAGUAAAAGUCGUAACAAGGCAUAUCAAUAAGCGGAGGAUGGAAGUAAAAAGUCGUAACAAGGUUUCCGUAGGUGAACCUGCGGAAGGAUCAUUAACGAACAACGGGGUCCGCCCCUUUGUCCACAUACACACCCCCGUGCACAUCACUGAGGCCCGGCUCGUUGAGUGGGUGGGCGACCGCCCAGGAUUCGUAGCCUCGCUUCGGUUUACACAAACUUCGGAAUGUAGAAUCGGAAUGUGUUGACGCGUGUAACGCAUCGUAAUAUAACUUUCAGCAACGGAUCUCUUGGCUCUCGCAUCGAUGAAGAACGCAGCGAAAUGCGAUAAGUAAUGUGAAUUGCAGAAUUCAGUGAAUCAUCGAAUCUUUGAACGCACCUUGCGCUCCUUGGCAUUCCGAGGAGCAUGCCUGUUUGAGUGUCAUGAAACUCUCAACCCCCGCCAUCUUUGCGGAUGCGGGUCGGUUGGAUUUUGGAGGUUGCCGGACCCGUUCGGCUCCUCUUGAAUGCAUAGUAAAGCUUGGACCUGACCGACCGAGUGGACGUGAUAGAAAGUCACCGUCGACUGAAGGGUCCGUCGCCGAACGGUUCAAGCUUUGUCUUCGGACGAAAGAUCUCUGACCUCUGACCUCAAAUCAGGUAGGACUACCCGCUGAACUUAAGCAUAUCAAUAAGCGGAGGAA